rnacentral:rRNA from 1 species
GGUUAGUCGAUCCUAAGAGAUAGGGAAACUCCGUUUUAAAGUGCAUGAUUAUCCAUGCCGCCCAUCGAAAGGGAAUCCGGUUAAGAUUCCGGAACCAGGACAUGGAUCUUUGACGGUAACGUAAAUGAAGUUGGUGACGCUGGCUAGGGCCCUGGGAAGAGUUAUCUUUUCUCCUUGACUAUCUAUAACCUUGAAAUCGGAUUAUCCGGAGCUAAGGUUCAAUGGUAGGCAAAGUGCAACACUUUCGUUGCAUCCGGUGCGUCCUAGACAGUCCUUGAAAAACCGACGGAACGUAUUACUCUCAUGCCUGGUCGUACUCAUAACCGCAGCAGGUCUCCUAGGUGAACAGCCUCUAGUUGAUAGAACAAUGUAGAUAAGGGAAGUCGG